GAAUUCUUAGUGGCGAACGGGUGAGUAACGCGUAGGCACCUGCCCUUUAGACGGGGACAACAUUCCGAAAGGAGUGCUAAUACCGGAUGUGGCCGCAUGGCGAAAGAUGGCCUUCGAGAAGCUAUCGCUAAAGGAUGGGCCUGCGUCUGAUUAGCUAGUUGGUAGUGUAACGGACUACCAAGGCGAUGAUCAGUAGCCGGUCUGAGAGGAUGAACGGCCACAUUGGGACUGAGACACGGCCCAAACUCCUACGGGAGGCAGCAGUGGGGAAUCUUCCGCAAUGGACGAAAGUCUGACGGAGCAACGCCGCGUGAGUGAUGAAGGAUUUCGGUCUGUAAAGCUCUGUUGUUUAUGACGAAGUGCAGUGUGUGAACAAUGCAUUGCAAUGACGGUAGUAAACGAGGAAGCCACGGCUAACUACGUGCCAGCAGCCGCGGUAAUACGUAGGUGGCGAGCGUUGUCCGGAAUUAUUGGGCGUAAAGAGCAUGUAGGCGGCUUAAUAAGUCGAGCGUGAAAAUGCGGGGCUCAACCCCGUAUGGUGCUGGAAACUGUUAGGCUUGAGUGCAGGAGAGGAAAGGGGAAUUCCCAGUGUAGCGGUGAAAUGCGUAGAUAUUGGGAGGAA
rnacentral:rRNA from 1 species